UGAUAUUUAUUAAAGAGCCGCAAUAUUUUCAUUGUGCUAAGGUAGCAAAAUAAUUAGUUUAUUAAUUGUAAACUUGUAUGAAGGGUUUAACAAAUUUGAUUCUUUUUUGAUUUUAUGUAUAAAAAUUUUUAUUAAAGUGCAAAAACUUUAAUGAUUUAAAAAGAAGAUAAGACCCUAAGAAUUUUUUUAUUUAUUUUUUAUUUAAAUAUUAUUUGUUGGAUUUAUAAAUUUUAAUAAAUUAGUUGGGGCGACUUUAAAGUAUCUAUAAACCUUUAAAAAAUUUUUCUAUUUUAAGUUAUUUGUUUGAUUAUAGGUUAUAAUAUAGUGGUAAAAUUACCUUAGGGGUAACAGCGUUAUAGAAGGUGGGAGUUCUUAUCUUAUUUUUUGAUUGCGACCUCGAUGUUGAAUUAAGUUUUAUUUUUG
rnacentral:rRNA from 1 species